GACGAACGCUGGCGGCGCGCCUAACACAUGCAAGUCGAACGAGAGAGGAAGAGCUUGCUUUUCCGAUCGAGUGGCGAACGGGUGAGUAACGCGUGAGGAACCUGCCUCAAAGAGGGGGACAACAGUUGGAAACGACUGCUAAUACCGCAUAAGCCCACGGCUCGGCAUCGAGCAGAGGGAAAAGGAGCAAUCCGCUUUGAGAUGGCCUCGCGUCCGAUUAGCUAGUUGGUGAGGUAACGGCCCACCAAGGCGACGAUCGGUAGCCGGACUGAGAGGUUGAACGGCCACAUUGGGACUGAGACACGGCCCAGACUCCUACGGGAGGCAGCAGUGGGGAAUAUCGCACGAUGGGGGAAACCCUGAUGCAGCGACGCCGCGUGGAGGAAGAAGGUCUUCGGAUUGUAAACUCCUGUUGUUGAGGAAGAUAAUGACGGUACUCAACAAGGAAGUGACGGCUAACUACGUGCCAGCAGCCGCCGUAA
rnacentral:rRNA from 1 species